rnacentral:lncRNA from 1 species
UAUCCCCUUGUCUGUCUUGCUAUGACACAGAAAUGUUUCAGAAAGCUGGCCCCUCUUUGCCAUAAGGGAGGGGUCGUAACGUAGGCUAAAGGACAAGGAAUGCUUUUUACAUUUGAUUUUUUAAAAUACAAUCACGGUUUUGUUUCUAAAAUGCAAACUCAAGUUUUUUGUUUGCAAGUGAAAAUGUAUUAAGAAUGCUGUGCAAUGUGUUUUUGUCUUUGUUCUAGAAAAAAAAACACUUUAGAAAGUUCUGAUGACGAAACAGACAUUGAGAUGAAGCGACAAUAUGAAAAAGCAAAAAGACAAAAAAAAGUUGCAAAAGAGAGGAUCCUCACUCAGUUGAAGGAUACACUGAGGAAACCACUCCACUCCACUCCAUGCAGAACCAAUCCAUUACAUAGUGAGGAGGAAGUUGAAUUCGAAACGGUGGACACAAACGUGGAUUUGUUCAAUUACCCAGGGAAUUCUCAAUCAACCGUAUGUCGUUUCAAACCCUAAGCAAUGAACACAAACCUUUGGACUGCGUAGUCAAAAAUCAUAUUUUUUCAGGUUCUCCAAAGCGUUUUUUUUUUUGCAAGUAGAACAUUACCAUGCAAAUCAUUUUUAUUUGAAAUUGUAUUUAUUGUUUUAAAUAUAGGAUACCUUAGAUGCUGCUGAGGCAAGUGGAGAGAGCGUGGAACAGCCAUUAUUUGUCAGUGGUGAAGUGUUGAAAGCUUUGAAAGGUACAGUAUAAAAUACCUGAAAUGAGUUGUGCUGAGGGAUGCUAUGUGGAUAAUUAUGUCUUACAUAUACUAUAUAUACAAUAAUACAUGUGUGAUUGUAAUUUUCUAUUGACUUAAUUUGUAUUUAAAGCAGUAAAAAGUGGUUGUACUGUAUUUCAUUUCUUUAGAUAGAUUCUGAGCAUUAAGCAUUUACAAUCUUUGUAAUCAUUCUAAGCAGCCAUCUUUCUUCAUAACUUUUUUAAUAGAAAUCUUUUCGACACCUCUAGAAAUCUCAACUGUGGCGUUUGGCAUCUUGUUCCUACCCCACUUACGAUGUGUUUUUACACGUAUUACCUGUGGUGUGCAUCAGGAGUGGAGCAGUACAUGUAUUCGUAUUGAACCAACAAACAAGGGACUCAUGCACAACCAUCACAAAACAGAAAGACAGUCGAGGAUCAUCAGGUGACCACACAGAGUAUUAAGAACCAAGGGUUCCCAAACUUUUGAGUGGGGUUAUUUUAAUAAUUUCAGCAAUUUUUUUUGUCUUGUGGACUAAAUGUUAAUAUCUUUUAUGUACAAUAUCUUACUCAGGACAGUACUAAAUAAAAAAUAACAUGCAUUUAGUAUGAUCUCUCUUAUUUUUUGAAAAUUACUCAUAUUUUCACAUAUCCCCACUGUAUAUGUGUGUGUGUGUGUGUGUGUGUGGUGUGUGUGUGUGUGUGUGUGUGUGUGUGUGUGUGUGUGUGUGUGUUAAAACACGGUGGUUAAUUAAGUAAAACAAACAAAUUGAUCUGAAAUAUAGUAAAUUAUUUUAAAAUUCAUUCAGGUAAAACUAUCAAACAACAAUGUCUUAAUUAAUUAAUUUAUUAACAAACAAAUUAUAUAAAACUAUUGUCAGUGCACUACAAAUAGUAAUUUCUGUAAUUUGGCGGGUCAUAUAUCAUUUUUUAAGGUUUUUGUUUCCCGUGUGCCUUUUCUUUGCCUUUUUCCUUUUCAGAAUGGAGCUGCUUUGGAGUGUUUGAUAGUAUUUUGGGUGCUGACAUAUCGCUACAAUUUGCAGAAACGGGACUGUCAAAACCUUGACAUUCCUAUUAUCCGGGAGUUAUGUCAUUAAAUUUGAGUAAAAUCACUGGCUUUGCAUAUCCCGUGCGAAUGCACAUAACAAAAUUAAUGUGGGGGCAGUUUCAAAAUCACUCAUCAUCCCCAGAUAAUACUAAUCCCGUGCAAAUAGGGCUUUAGAGAAAACGACAUAUACUCAAGCUGCAGUUUAGUUUAACUUGACUGUCAUAAUUGGUAUGUCCUCAAAAUCUGUUAGUUAUAGUACAUUUUAAACUAUAUAAAAUACAUAUCCUCUUUUUUUUGCAGAAAUUCCCACCUUAGUGCAGUGUGUCAAGGAACUAAUAUCCUCAAUGAACAGAGGGAUCGAUACAGCAAGCACAAGCUCAGGGUCCUCCAGCGCAGCCCAAGAGAUGGUAUGUUAUUGUAUGUGUUUUGUGAAAUACUAAUCAUUCAAAACAAAAAUUUUAACUAGUUCUUAAGAACAAGUUGUAUCCAGCAUGAUUGAGUAAUUUAACUGCAUACUGUAGACAAAAGCAUAUGUUAAUCACAAAAAAACUUAUUUAAAGAAUAAUUAAAAUAAAUCUAAAUCAUCUUGAUUAUUUCUCUGGGAGUAUUGGAGCAGCUUGCUUCUACUCAUUCAUAGUGCUGACAAUCACAUCGAUAAGUUAAUAUUAAACAAUAAAAUGGAGGAUGGCAUGGUAGGGCAUCAGUAUGAAUAAACUAUUUCAUAUAUUGAUAUUUAUUGCUAAGUUCAGCUAGUUUAGCUUUCUUCACAAAACUGCCGACAGUAAUGCAGCCAUCCUUUACUACAAAACAGAUAUGAUCACACAGACUGUGAAAAAGGUCUCUUUUUGCCUAGAAAAUCAUUGUGUGUCUAUAUUCUAGCAACUUUAUAUCCUAUAAGCAUAAGGUGGAUAUUAUGAAUGAUUUUGUGGCUAUUCAUAAAGCACUAAUGUACUAAUGUUUUUUUAAUUACAUUUUUUCGGCAGACACUGUCAUAUCCUAGUUUCCGGGCACAUCACAGUACGAGGUUAGAGCCGUAAUAUGGCGAAAGUGCAAUAAUGAAAGUUUUGUUUCAAAAAAAAAAAAACACUGUAAAGGUUAUUUUUUUUGUUGUUGUUGGGAAAGGAAUGUGAAAGUAAAGAAGAAAUGUAUGUUUUGUUCAUAUAAGAUACAUACAGUAAUCUGUAGUUUAAUCAUUUUAUUAAAGGGUUAGUUCACCCAAAAAUCAAAAAGUUCUUUGUAUUUAGUACCCGUGUGUUGUUCUAAACCCUUAAGACUUCCAUUAACCAUUGCAUCACAAAAUAUUAUAUUUAUGAUGUAAUCUGAGCGCUGGGUAAGUCUUCCAUUGACUUCCAAGGGGCUUAAACUUGCUCGAUCAGAAAUCGUAUUAAGACAUUGUUUGAAAUUGUCUAAGUGACUCCAGUGGCUCAACCAUCCAUUUAUCAAGCGACGAGAAUAGUUUUUGUGUGCCAAAAACAAACAAAAAUAACGAAUUUAUUCCAAUAUCCAUUUACUCGUGGUGUGCUUGAAAGUUGUUUACGUAGUGUAUCUGCACGAGCUUCUGGGUUCUACAACAAUGUAUGUGCGGUUCCCACUGAUCUGUUUUACAGAAAAUGUGUUUUGAUAGAAGCAAAAGCCAAAAACUAUGUUAUUCCACUCCCAAAUAAUAUAGAGAGAGAUUAAAUAUGAACUGACACAUGAAUGAGAGAUAUGCAUAUUGCUCACUGAGCCUGUUCGUGCCCUUAUCUGGAUAUAUGUUGUUCCUCGUUUUUCUUUUAUUUUGUAUGGUGCAAUGGUAUGGCUCUGUGGAAGCACCCUAAAUGUUGUUGUACCAAUGACAAUAACGUCUAUUCUAUUCGCUUAUCCUCCAAGCUUGCAAGUUUUUUUUUUUUUUUUUUUUCAUAAAAUGUUAUGCAAUACAAAGCAAACAGUCAGAAAAAUACAGUUGUCAUGCCUGUUCUAAAUAUUAACUCACAGACAGUGUUAAGU